rnacentral:rRNA from 1 species
ACUCAAAGGAAUUGACGGGGGCCCGCACAAGCGGUGGAGCAUGUGGUUUAAUUCGAAGCAACGCGAAGAACCUUACCAGGUCUUGACAUCCUUUGACCACUCUAGAGAUAGGGCUUCCCCUUCGGGGGCAAAGUGACAGGUGGUGCAUGGUUGUCGUCAGCUCGUGUCGUGAGAUGUUGGGUUAAGUCCCGCAACGAGCGCAACCCUUAUUGUUAGUUGCCAUCAUUCAGUUGGGCACU